UACGUAGGGCGCAAGCGUUAUCCGGAAUUAUUGGGCGUAAAGAGCUCGUAGGCGGCUCGUCGCGUCGUCCGUGAAAACCCGCGGCUUAACUGCGGGCUUGCGGUUGAUACGGGCGGGCUAGAGUUCGGUAGGGGAGACUGGAAUUCCUGGUGUAGCGGUGAAAUGCGCAGAUAUCAGGAGGAACACCGGUGGCGAAGGCGGGUCUCUGGGCCGAUACUGACGCUGAGGAGCGAAAGCGUGGGGAGCGAACAGG
rnacentral:rRNA from 1 species